rnacentral:rRNA from 1 species
CGGGGUGCACCAGGCGCGAAAACUUUACAAUGCCGGCAACGGCGAUAAGGGAACCUCGAGUGCCAGGCUACAAAUCUGGCUGUCGUGAUGCCUAAAAAGCAUUGCAUAGCAAGGGCCGGGCAAGACCGGUGCCAGCCGCCGCGGUAACACCGGCGGCUCGAGUGGUAACCGUUAUUAUUGGGUCUAAAGGGUCUGUAGCCGGCCGGGUAAGUCUCUUGGGAAAUCUGGCAGCUUAACUGUCAGGCUUUCAGGAGAUACUGCCUGGCUCGAGGCCGGGAGAGGUGAGAGGUACUUCAGGGGUAGGGGUGAAAUUUUGUAAUCCUUGAAGGACCACCAGUGGCGAAGGCGUCUCACCAGAACGGACCUGACGGCAAGGGACGAAAGCUAGGGGCACGAACCGGAUUAGAUACCCGGGUAGUCCUAGCCGUAAACGAUACUCGCUAGGUGUCGGCCACGGUGCGACCGUGGUCGGUGCCGUAGGGAAGCCGUGAAGCGAGCCACCUGGGAAGUACGGCCGCAAGGCUGAAACUUAAAGGAAUUGGCGGGGGAGCAC